AAUGAACGCGGCGGSGUGCUUUACACAUGCAAGUCGAGCGAGGCGGGUAGCAAUACCCAGUCGAGCGGCGAACGGGUGAGUAACGCGUGGAUUAUCUGCCCUGAGGUGGGGGAUAGCCGGGCUAACGCCCGGGUAAUACCGCAUACGUUCUCUGAAGGGAGUCCUUUGGAGAGGAAAGCUCCGGCGCACGGGGAGGGGUUCGCGGCCUAUCAGCUAGUUGGCGGGGUAAUGGCCCACCAAGGCGACGACGGGUAGCUGGUCUGAGAGGAUGGCCAGCCACAUUGGGACUGAGAGACGGCCCAGACUCCUACGGGAGGCAGCAGUGGGGAAUCUUGCGCAAUGGCCGAAAGGCUGACGCAGCGACGCCGCGUGUGGGAUGAAGCAUUUCGGUGUGUAAACCACUGUUGCCCGGGACGAACAGCCUUUUCGAGAGGUCUGACGGUACCGGGUGAGGAAGCACCGGCUAACUCCGUGCCAGCAGCCGCGGUAAUACGGAGGGUGCGAGCGUUGUCCGGAAUCAUUGGGCGUAAAGGGCGCGUAGGUGGCCUGCUAAGCGUGCGGUGAAAGCUCGGGGCUCAACCCCGAGUCGGCCGUGCGAACUGGUGGGCUUGAGCACUGUAGAGGCAGGCGGAAUUCCGGGUGUAGCGGUGGAAUGCGUAGAGAUCCGGAAGAACACCGGUGGCGAAGGCGGCCUGCUGGGCAGUAGCUGACACUGAGGCGCGACAGCGUGGGGAGCAAACAGGAUUAGAUACCCUGGUAGUCCACGCCGUAAACGAUGGGCACUAGGCGCUUGGGGGAGCGACCCCCCGAGGGCCGGCGCUAACGCAUUAAGUGCCCCGCCUGGRGAGUANGGCCGCANGGCUGA
rnacentral:rRNA from 1 species